UACGAAGGGGGCUAGCGUUGCUCGGAAUUACUGGGCGUAAAGGGAGCGUAGGCGGACAGUUUAGUCAGAGGUGAAAGCCCAGGGCUCAACCCUGGAAUUGCCUUUGAUACUGACUGUCUUGAGUGUGGGAGAGGUGUGUGGAACUCCGAGUGUAGAGGUGAAAUUCGUAGAUAUUCGGAAGAACACCAGUGGCGAAGGCGACACACUGGCCCAUUACUGACGCUGAGGCUCGAAAGCGUGGGGAGCGAACAGG
rnacentral:rRNA from 1 species